GUUCACUGCCGUACUGGCAGCUUAGAAA
rnacentral:other from 1 species